rnacentral:rRNA from 1 species
CCUACGGGUGGCAGCAGUGGGGAAUAUUGCACAAUGGGCGCAAGCCUGAUGCAGCCAUGCCGCGUGUGUGAAGAAGGCCUUCGGGUUGUAAAGCACUUUCAGCGGGGAGGAAGGCGGUGAGGUUAAUAACCUCAUCGAUUGACGUUACCCGCAGAAGAAGCACCGGCUAACUCCGAGCCAGCAGCCGCGGUAAUACGGAGGGUGCAAGCGUUAAUCGGAAUUACUGGGCGUAAAGCGCACGCAGGCGGUCUGUCAAGUCGGAUGUGAAAUCCCCGGGCUCAACCUGGGAACGCAUUCGAAACUGGCAGGCUAGUGUCUUGUAGAGGGGGGUAGAAUUCCAGGUGUAGCGGUGAAAUGCGUAGAGAUCUGGAGGAAUACCGGUGGCGAAGGCGGCCCCCUGGACAAAGACUGACGCUCAGGUGCGAAAGCGUGGGGAGCAAACAGGAUUAGAUACCCUAGUAGUC